rnacentral:rRNA from 1 species
CCUACGGGAGGCAGCAGUGGGGAAUAUUGCACAAUGGGGGAAACCCUGAUGCAGCGACGCCGCGUGAGUGAAGAAGUAAUUCGUUAUGUAAAGCACUAUCAGCAGGGAAGAAAAUGAUGGUACCUGAGUAAGAAGCCCCGGCUAACUACGUGCCAGCAGCCGCGGGAAUACGCAGGGGGCAAGCGUUAUCCGGAUUUACUGGGUGUAAAGGGAGCGUAGACGGCAGUGCAAGUCUGGAGGGAAAGGCGGGGGCUCAACCCCCGGACUGCUCUGGAAACUGUACGGCUGGAGUGCAGGAGAGGUAAGUGGAAUUCCUGGUGUAGCGGUGAAAUGCGUAGAUAUUAGGAGGAACACCAGUGGCGAAGGCGGCUUACUGGACUGUAACUGACGUUGAGGCUCGAAAGCGUGGGGAGCAAACAGGAUUAGAUACCCGAGUAGUC